rnacentral:rRNA from 1 species
GACGAACGCUGGCGGCGUGCCUAAUACAUGCAAGUAGAACGCUGAAGGAGGAGCUUGCUCUUCUUGGAUGAGUUGCGAACGGGUGAGUAACGCGUAGGUAACCUGCCUGGUAGCGGGGGAUAACUAUUGGAAACGAUAGCUAAUACCGCAUAAUAGUAGAUGUUGCAUGACAUUUACUUAAAAGGUGCAAUUGCAUCACUACCAGAUGGACCUGCGUUGUAUUAGCUAGUUGGUGAGGUAACGGCUCACCAAGGCAACGAUACAUAGCCGACCUGAGAGGGUGAUCGGCCACACUGGGACUGAGACACGGCCCAGACUCCUACGGGAGGCAGCAGUAGGGAAUCUCCGGCAAUGGACGGAAGUCUGACCGAGCAACGCCGCGUGAGUGAAGAAGGUUUUCGGAUCGUAAAGCUCUGUUGUAAGAGAAGAACGAGUGUGAGAGUGGAAAAUUCACACUGUGACGGUAUCUUACCAGAAAGGGACGGCUAACUACGUGC